GGCGUUGGCUGGAGGAGCUCGCCGUGGCACAAUAUUGGUGGCGGGGAGGCACGGAGGAAAAACUCUUGGUCGCCUGCCCGAGAGUCUGCUAGCGGCGUCCACCCGGAGGUCUGGGUUGUCCGGGGAUAAAGGAGCUGAACAUGGAAGAGGCGGCAAUGCCUGAGUUCGCGUGCCUCUACCAGUACAAUGACCAAGAAGUCGCCUUCCUCUGUGCGCACCUCGAGGAGGCCACCCCUCGAGCCCCAUGUUUGGUCAGUGCUCUUAAUUAUCCUGGUGCUUGGAUGAUCAGAGGAAGACAAAUGAUGGAGUCUUUUGUAUUAAUUUUAAUGACAUACAAUACACACUGAAGACCUACAUGUGGCAGAUGGUGAUAGUGGGCAGAGCGAGAGGAGGUUCUGUGCAACGAGUGCUUUGCCUUUCCUUUCAGUGAUGCAGAAUCAUCCGGAGAUUUCACCACUCCUGAAACUGUACUGCCGAAUUUGAUGCUACUUGCUAAUGAUCAGCGUUACAACCAAGAUAGUCGUGAAAUUCUCCCGCAAAAUAAAGGAUGCUUGUUGGCGGAGUGAAGCGUGCCGCUGCAAAGAAGUUGUAUGCUGGAGGAGCUGAACCUUGCACCAGGCCAUGGGUGUUGCACGUUUUACAACCCUGUGAUGAUUUCCGUUUAGAUAGUUACCUGUGGACAAGUAUGUCCAUGGUAAGUGAGUUAUUUACCCUUUCAUUACAGUGUGGGACAGAAAUGAACAAUCUAGGGUGGAUGAAGACCAGCGCUUUGCACAAGUUCUUGUGUUUAGGACCCAGGAGGACCUUUGUUGUUUUCCCUGUUGUGGAAGAGUGGCUAGAGUUUUCUCUA